rnacentral:rRNA from 1 species
CAGUAGCCGCGGGAAAACGGAGGGUGCAAGCGUUAUCCGGAUUUAUUGGGUUUAAAGGGUCCGUAGGCGGAUCUGUAAGUCAGUGGUGAAAUCUCACAGCUUAACUGUGAAACUGCCAUUGAUACUGCAGGUCUUGAGUAAAUUUGAAGUGGCUGGAAUAAGUAGUGUAGCGGUGAAAUGCAUAGAUAUUACUUAGAACACCAAUUGCGAAGGCAGGUCACUAAGAUUUAACUGACGCUGAUGGACGAAAGCGUGGGGAGCGAACAGGAUUAGAUACCCGCGUAGUCCCUGUCUCUUAUAC